UUUUUUUUUUUUUUUGUUUCGUGGAGCUAAUAUCAACUACGGUUGAAGAAAAUUUAAUACUAUAUGAUCUAGCAAAAAAAUUUAAUACUAUACAAUCAUAGCAAAAAAAUUUAAUACUAAGUUUAAAGUUUUUUUGUUUAGUGGAACUUUUAUUUACUUUUAAUGAAAAUAUUGAUUCUAUCUCUCAUGCCGACAACAAACCGAUAAUAUAAAAAAAUAUAACGAUGAAAAUAUCAACUACUGUUGAAGAAAAUUUAAUACUAUGAUCCCAGCAAAAAAUAUGUUAUUAGCUCGGUGGUCUAUAAUUGACAUGUAGUUCUUCUCUCGAUUAAAUUGGAAUCUUAAAAUUCUCACGUGGUUCUCUAGAUGAAUAUUAAUAUUAGCGAAAUGAAAAUUUAAUUCAGAGGGAAGAAAUUAAUUUUAAAAAGUUCAAAAUUUCUUUUUUUGGGUGAUAGACCUUUUGUUUUCCUCCAUAUUUUUUUUUAUAAUUUCACUGAGUAAUAUAUCAACUAAAUUUAUCAAACCCUAAUUCUGUUCUUACCUUCAUAGUGUGUAUUUACAGAAAGAUUCGAAAAAUGUGAUGAAUAGAUGAGGUGAAAUUUAUUUUAAUAGUAUAGAUGGUUAGGGUUAAGAGGAGUUGAUGGAUAAAAACUCUCCACAUAUAAGGUAUUCAAGUUGAUGUACUAGAUCCAUGAAUAUUGGCCACUUGAAUGAGAAAUUUGUAUGUGUUGUUGAUGCUAAGUCUUUGAAAUAGGUGUUUUGGUUUGGCCUACAAAUCUUGUAUGCCUCAAAGUUGUUCCCUUCUUUCCCACACACCUUAGGCCAUUGCACAUGAAGACAUUUAUAUAAAAAACCAAACAUAUUUAUUAUUGUUAUUAUUAUUAUUGCAACAAAGCUAAGCCCUUCUCUAUUUUUUUUUUCCUUUCUUUUUUUUUAUUAAAAUUUUUCUAUUUCAUUAACUAACUCAUUGAAAUUAAUUAGGGUUAGGUUUAUGCAAGGUUGAAUCAUAAACUCUUUCAAACAUGUGUGUGUUUUAGAGAACAACAAACAAGGCAUUUGGGGUUUCAAUAAUUUUUCUAGUUAGGUCACUAAUUGAUGGAGGUUGAUGAAAAACAAAUAUAUUGAUUGAAGUUAUUAUUAUUUGAUUAAACAUAUGAAAAAUAUUAAAUCAUUUGAUUUGGUUUUAAUUAGUAGUACUAUGACUUCAAGGUUUAACAUAACCACAUAUAUAUAUAUAUAUCUAUGUAUAUCUAUCCUUAUUCAAUUCUAGAAAUUAUUAUUUUGUUGGUUGACAUUUCGAACUCAUUUGACAAAUUGUUUUUUGGAUAACCAUUGUGCUUUCAAUUUUAAUGUGUACUUGUUUAAAGAUAAGCCUCGUUGAUUAACUAAUUUCUUUCUUUUUUUUUUGUGUGUGUUUUAAUCUUUCUCAAUUUUGAAAACAAAAACAAUAUGCAUUGGUUUUCAAUCUCCUCCCAAGAUUAUUUUUAGAAGGUUUUUCCUUUUAACAUUUUUAAAUAUAGAAAAAAAAUUAAAACUAUUUAUAAAAUAUAACAAAACCGCCAAUUUAAUUAAGUUUUUUUCUAUUAUUAUAUUUUCACGUCACGAAAUUUCUUGAGAUUACAUGAGAGUAUAUUUUUGGUCAUUUUCUCACUAUUUUAAUCUUCCAUCUUAUUUGGUUUAUGUGACAUUUUUCUGCAUCUCCUGUGAUUUGACAACAUCAUUCUUGCUUGUCUUUAAGAUUUAUUAGAGUGAAAGUUGUCCUCAUUUUCAUGAUCGAGUCACUAAAAAAAAGUGCAUCUUGUUGGUAUAGGUAAUAACUUUUAAGUUUUUUAAAUUUUUUAAGUCUUUCUUAACCUUACUUUCAUAUACUUCUUAUGAUAUCUGAUUUCAGUUUAUUUUUGUCUCCCUCCUAAACUCAUUUGUUAUAAAUUAAUCUUAGUUUAUAUUGUUAUCUAAUUUAUUAAUACUUUGCGUAAGGAAAUAGUGGUAUUCCUUUGAUAAUUUUUUAUUGUAUAAAGAAAUAAUCGUACUUAUUUAAUAAUUUUUAAUUGUAAAAUAAGUUGGUAAAUAUUUUAAUAGAUUAUUACUAAUUUAUUAAAAUAAGUAUUUUAUAUUAUUUUUUUAAAGUUAGUAUUAAUUAAUUAAUUGUAUUUCAAAUGAAAUUGUAUACAAAAUAAAAAAAAUAGAUAGAGAUGGAAAAAAGAAAACCCACCAUUUUGGAAAGAAUAAAAAACACUUGUAUAUGGCCAGUAGGGAUGUUUGGAAAUCAGUUAUUGCCAUGCAAAAGUUUGAAAACUGUGAAACAAAUAUGCGUUUUAAAUAUAUGUGUCCAUUCCCAUUUAGAAAUCCUACAAACCAAACGACCUAUAUGUAUAUAUAUAUAUAUAUAGUUUUUAAACUUUAACUUCCUAUUUCGUUAAAUAUGAGAAAUUUUUAGGGCAAAUUUUGAAUAGAAAUACUCAUUUUUAACAUUCACAUUCCCUCAACAGUAAAUUUGUAUAUUUUUAAAGAAAGUCAACUUGCACAACAAAAGAAGAAGAAAAUUAAACACUGGUGUGGUAUCUAAUACUAGAUCUUUGAUGGUUAAGUCAAUAUUCAUAGUUAACAGGUUUGCAAGCUAGAGAUGGGAAGACUUAAUUAACUAUCUUUGGAUGUUAUUGCUUAUGUCCUAUAAACAUGGAGUGAAUCUCAAGGUUCCUAAUAUGAAAAAGGUAAAAAUGGGUCGACCAUGAGGCUAAGAAAGUGGUCCACAUGAAAUGUGCUCUAUUGUGAAGGGAAGAGAUUAACGGUCUCGACCACGUUGGUCAUCGCCUGGCUCAAAGUGGUCUUAACCUCGAGAUGAGCACAUUAGGCUGAAGUUUGUCAUUUCUUCAAAUCUCAGCUUCCUCCCUUGAUUUAUUUUUUGCACUUCUUUGGCUCUCACAUAACUACAGUCAUUCUAAUUUACCUUUAAUGUUUUUCUCUUUCGAUCGAGCUUGUGACUCUUAGUUCAAAAUGAGCCAUAACAAAAGAAACAACGUACAUACCGUGUGGGACCCUUGAUCUAAAAUGUGUAAUUAGGUAUAUAGUUUAGAAGUGUGUAAUUAUAUUUUAGCAAGCUAGAUAUCCAUCACAACUUAAUUAAUUCUUUCCUUGUUUUUUUUCUUUUUUUUGCCAUUACUAUACUCAUUAGAUGCUAAAUGAGGGUUUUUAUCAACAUUAAUAGUCUAAUUUGGCUGGUUUUAAACACUCCACAUUCUCACAAGCUCAAAAGCCUCCAAACCCUAAAUUUCAAUUACAAUUACAAUUACAAAAGGGUUAUGUCUCCAACCACAAAAGCCCAUCACUUUCAUUACAAGACACUCACAAAACAUUGACAUGGACUCUCAACACCAUAACUUUUGUUCUCCAUGGAAUAAUACAAAUUUCAUGCUGCUCCACAUGUGCCUUUGCACAUAGCUCCCAAUCAAUUUCUUUUUCUAUUCAAACUCUAUAAAAGAAACCCCUCAACUUCACCACCUUCUUCACAUACAAAAAACAAAGCUUCCUUUUUGUCAUCACAAUAACAAAAUCAAACACAAAAGAUCCUUCCAAAUGGCUAUGCUUCCAUGCAAACGCAUUCUUACACUCUUCGUCCUCAUCCUCGUCCUUCUUUGUUGUUUCUCAAACCCAGCUAUAGGUAUAGACUUUUCUAUCUAAUGAUGUCUUUUCUUUUUCUCUUCAUUUUUAUGUUUUAGGUUAUGGGUUAAACAAAAAAACAUGUUAUCUAAUUGAUUACGACAAUAAUUCAUAUCGAUUUUUUUUAUUUACUUCUUCUCCCUAGUUUUGUUGAGUUUAAAAAUUAGGUCAUACUAUCAAAUUUUGAGUUAUAAUCAUAAACUGAAAUAUAUUUUACCUUAUGUAAGAUGAGAAUUUUUAAUUUUCUCAUGGUACAACAUCUUGAUCAAUUGUACAUGCAUGUAUAAGGUUCAUAGUAUAUAUAAUUUAGUUUUUUGAUGUAUUUUGAAAGGUUUGUGCCAAACAUAGAUACAUUCAAACAUGACAACAUAUAUGUUUCUUGAUGCUUAUUUUGUAAGUUUAAUGAGACUAUGGAAGUAUCUCUUACCAAACGAGAAAUAUAUAUAUUAUAUACAAAUACAUUUGUUUAAGAAAUUAAAAUAUUUACUUAUUUUUAUAAUCUACUUCUAUAAAUAGUAUUUCAAAAAGAAGUUUUUCUAACCAGAAAAAGAAAACAAAAAGAACAAGAAAUAAAAGUUGUUUCUAGACAUAUUUUAAAUGUUGUUUUGAAUGAAGAAUUUCGAAUGACUUCAAAGUAUGUCUGUCAGUUGAAUAAGUUCAAUUCUAUACGAAAAGCAUCAAAUAAAAAACUCAUUCUACAAAGUUUUCCUCGAUCUCUCUUUGGAAACCGAAAUUUUAUGUACAAGUUGAAGUUUGGACUGAGAUUGUUACUGAUGGGAUUUCCUUAAUUAUUGAUUUGUUUGUGAUUGCAGCAGCAAGAAGUGUGGGAGUUGCUGAGAUGAAAAAUGAGAGUCAAAAUGAGAAAGUAAUUAACAUGAAUGAUGAUGCUUAUAAAGUUCAUAAUAAUGAUGAAGAACAUUAUUUCUCAAGCACGGAUGAUUUGGGUGCAAUGGAUUAUACUCCAGCUUCCAAGAAGCCUCCAAUUCACAACUAGAGAUUUUAUUUAAUUUGUAUACGAACACUCAAAAUUAUUCCAAAAACACUUUUGUUUCAUUACUAUUAAUUUGUAUGAUAUCUUACAUCUAUAUCUUUCUCUCUCUUUUUUUAAAACUUUGUGAUAACUAAUAUUAUGAAUGUUUUGAGUAAUGAAUUAUACAGAAAUGGAAGAUAGGAGCAAACAAUGAAACAAUAGGGGGUUUCAUACAUGUGCAACUGUUUCAAUCUUGUCUUUUUCUUUUUCUUUUUAAAUUAUUAUUAUUAUUUGAAAUUAGAUUGAUUUUCCAUGGAAGAUUAAUUAUCUCGACCUGGAACACUUACUAAGGGCCCGUUUGUGUUUUUGAUGUUAUCAUUCUCUUUCUUGUUUCCUCUCGUUUUAUUUUAAAUAAAAGAUGAAUUUCAUUUUGUAAAUUUUUUCUGGUUUCAACCCUUGAUAGAAGCUUGUAAACAAAUUUGUAUAAGGUGGAAAUUUGAACUCUCGACCUCUUGUCCACGAGUAAAUACAAGUGUCAGUUGAGCUAAAACUCAUAUGGGGCAAUUUCUACAAAUUUGAAUAACCCUAAAUUACAAAUUUUAAAUUCAACUCAUUAAAGUUGAACAUAAUAACGAAUUUAAUUUUGAUAAAGUCACUUAUUUCAAUCUAAUUAUAAUUACAACCGUUAACUUUUAAAAAAGUAAUAUUGUAUUAUUGAUGAAUAGAAAGUAAUAAUUAUAUUGGAAAAAAAAACAGUAAACAUUUUAUAGUAUUAUCGAUGAAUAUUGUGUUUUCUGAGCCUGUUAACGAGGGUCCAAAUUUCAUACUUCCUGAAAAAUAGUUUUUUCUUGAUCAACAAUGCCCAUCAACAUACAAUUUUUCUUGAUGAACCUUGUCUAUAAUCUUUUUUUUGGUCUUUAUCCAUCAAAAAAUUCUAGACCAAUCAAGAAAAUUUUAAAUCCAUCAAAAAAUUCUAGACCAAUCAAGAAAAUUUUAAAUCUAUCAAGAAAUUCAAAACAAAUAUAUGUUAAUUUUUUUCGAUGAUGGCCAUUGCAAAUCAAGAAAAUUUAUCUUUUGAUGGGUCUCGUCCAUCAAGAAAACUUAAUUAACUUGAUGAACAUUAUCGGUCAACUAAUAUAUAUAUAUCUUUAAUGUAUAUCGUCUAUCAAGAAAUCAUUUUCUUGACGUUUGUGAAUCAUCAACAAAACUAAGAGAACUUUGCCCAUAAAAAAAAUUAAAAAUCCACAAAAUAAUGAGACUUUUCUUGACGUACAUAAUCGUCAAGAUAUGUAUAUUGUAUAAAAAAAAGAUGGUCCUUUGUUAUGACCAUCAAGAAAUCAAAAUUUGCGUGCAUCGUGAAAGACCAAACUUGUAGCAGUGCUGGUUAUAAAAAAUGUAUAAUUUUUUUUGUAACGUGUACAUAAUUUGACCCAUUUUUCUAUAUUUAAAUAGCUCCCAUUUAUUUUUCUCUUAAAAAUGCUUGUGUUUUUCAUUAUUUAAUCAUACACAAAUAUAUUCUGAAUAAUAAAAAAAGAGAUAAAAAAGAGAGAAUUUUCUUUUGUGAACUAUUGAUUAAUUAACAUCCAUAUCAUUAAUUUUAUCUAUCUAUAUCAAGAAAAAUUAAUAACUUUUAGAAACAUUUCUGACAACUUAUUAGCAACAAGAAAGUCAUAAAUUAUCAAAUGAAUGUGUAUGUUAAAAAAUGAAAAACAGAAAAUAGUCAUCUUACAACAAAAAUUAGAUUCCAUGAAAACCAAAUUAAUUGGCGAGAGAAAAUUGUUAUAAAAUAAUGAUCACAAUAUUAGAGCUAAUAUAGCAAUCUAUGUUUCUAAAAUAACACUCUUUGUUAUAGAAGAUUAGGGUAAAAAUUAUAGUUACAAACUAUCAUCAUAUAAUCUUUUAUUGAACAAUAUAGAAACGAUCUUUAUAAGGUUCUUAUACCAAUUCAAAAGUGUCGUCGAGACAGCUGCAUCCUUUGGCUUUCUAGACUGAUGUAGAGUUGCUUAAUUAACAUUGUUUUUCAAGUUCAUCCGACAAUAAUGUUGUCAUAACACUUCAAGGUAACAUCGUGAUGCUUUACGAUUGUAUAUUGUAGCAUCGAGCCCAACAUUUUGUGGCAUUGCACUCAUGAUAUAUCAUGCUGGGGUAUCUUUUUCCUUUUGCUCAUGGCAUUGAUCUCAUUUACUUGAAUUAAAAUUUAUCCUACUCUCAAAUAUUAAGCUAACUUGUUACUUCAAUCUCCAGCAACUGCUUCGAAAACUGGAUUUAAUUUGCAUACAAGUGCUCAUGUCAAGUUAUUAUAAUAAAGUAAAAUAGCCUUACGAUCAGAUCCAAUACCAUUGUCAGAAGAUCAAACUCACAUAUUAAUUUAGCUACUCUAGAUUUUUUUUCGACUUUGUUUAAGGAUUGAAAAUGAGAUUCAUGAUGAUUAGCAAAUUAAUAAAAACUAAAAAGAAAAGGAUCAAUGUUGAAGGAUAUAAAAGAGUGUCGUCUAAUCAAAGGGUAUUGAUUUUUUGUAAUUCAAUUCGUUAAAUGAUGUAUAAGUUAUAUGAAAUCUUGAAUGGUUGACAUUUUUUAAAUCUCAAAACUAAACUUCAGAUAAUUGUCUUUCAACAACGAAUGAGGGAAAGUCAUAAAUUAAUUUUUAUUGUUCAUCUAACUAUAUAUUGUCAUGAUAGCUUAACAAUGAUUCACUAUCAUAGAGACCUAGACCUUAAAACACAAGUGAGGCACAGAACCCAUAUCAAAUAUGUAUUAGAUACCAAUACUUUUCAUAUAUCUAUCUAACACGCCAUUUAGCUUACAUAUAUACUUUUAUGCUAACCGUUUUCUAAAAAAAAAAAAGAUCAGCAACCAUCUAAUAUUUAACAACUCAAAACUAAGCAACUUAUUUAAAAUGUUCAUUCCCUUGCCCAAAAGAAAAAGUAAAAUAAAAAUAACGUAAAAGACAAGAUUGUCAUCAUCACACGUUUGAGUCGUCAUAAAAUCGUGUAAAAUAUUAACCUUUUUGCAUAUCUUCAACAACUUUUAACAAAGUUGUUCUUCCUUUAUCUUCGUACUUUUCUUCUAAUCUUAUUCCUUUUCUUGAUCAAUUUGUGUCUCUUUUCGAUUGCAUUCUUUUGAUUUGUUUACUUCAAUAUUUUUAUGUUGCUUUUUUGUAUUGUACUCCACUGUUUGGAUCAUACUUCUUAUAAUAGUAAGUAAUUUGACAUUUUGUGGUUUUUUGUGGACUUGUGAAAUUACAUUUAUUAUUUUUAUGUUACGUUUACUUAUAUCCUAAAACUUUUUAAGAAAAGAAAUGUAUCUCUUCAAACGUAUCAAUAUCAUAGGUUUUUAGAAAUUGAUGUAUGAUUGUAUCCUAUCGUAUUUGUAUUAUGUAUCUGUAUCUAUGUUUGUGGUCCUAGUUAAACAUACAAUUUAUAUUGAAUUGAACAUUUAACUUGGCAUCUAUUGUGAUCAAUAUAAAAGAAACAUGAUAAAUGUCAAAAAGUGCUUUAUUUCACCAUAUAUUUUGUUACUUCUUUUAAGUAAAGUGAGACUUUACCAUGAUAUACAUUGACCCCAAAAUUACUUCAAUUGAGUAGAAUAAACAAACGUCCUUGAAUUGUCCUAAGUUACACUACUACAGAAAUUGGUUUACUUGACGUUAAUACAGUGUCAAGUAAACGUAUACUUGACGUUUUUAAAAAUGACAAGUAAUCGACUGUCAAAUAUAGUCACAUUAUUUAGUAUAAUAAGUAAACCAAAAAUAAUUUUAUUGCUCUCAGCAAUGUCAUCAACAAUUACACGAUACCAAUCCAAUAUAGUCAACUAAAAUUUCCUAUAUAUGCGACCUAUUUCAAAAUCAACAAUAAUAAUAACUAUGUUAUAUAACAAAAAAAGAUGUGUGGUAUACAAACACUGAAGUCUAUCCCCUUACAUCUAUUGCCUCAUGUACAUAAGCAUAAUGACUAUAAACAAAACAUCUACAAAAAAAAAAAAAAAAGGACAUUUCCAUAUGUUUGCCAUUUACAAAGUUAACAAGCUAAGAUCAUAUCUAGGUGUGUCUAACAUAUGUACCGAGCUAGAAAUUCAGCUCACUCAGCUCGUACUUCAUCCAAUUCAAGUUGUGAGUAUGAAUUUCUCGUAUCAAUCUAUAAAACAUAAAAAGUCGAGUAGACACUUUGUUAAAAAUAAAAAUUUGUCAUAUUAUAUUAUUUAUAAUAUUUCAAACAGAUUGCAUACAAGAUUGAAUGAGCAAAAAAGUAAAUUGAGCACAUAAGAAAAACCUAGAAUCUGCAAAUAAAUCUCAAAUACUUAAGAUUAUUGCCAACUAAUAUUCCUAAGUAGAUAUUUUCAUAAACAUGCCACGUUCCCAAUCAAUAUUUGAAUAAAGUCAAUAUAAUGAAUGGAACAAUGGGUUUUAGGUGUAUAUGCUUAUCAUACUGACUACUAAAAAUGUGCCACAUACUAAAAACAGAACACACACAACUAAAACUCACCUGAAAUCCACUAACCUACACUAAAGUACCCUUUAUUCCAACCUAAAGGAGCACCAAACAAGUUAAGAACUCGUUGGAAGUUGUCUCUGAUGCUCGACACCUUAUGUAUUGUGUCAAGAAUAGUUACCCUUCAUUAUUUUGAUUUUAGAUAUGUAAUUCUUGAUGUCAUGCAAUGUGUGGCAUCGGGAUCCGUAUGCCCCAAGUCUUGGGGUCUUCAGUAAUUUUGUUGGGAGAAGCAAUAUUUCACAAGUUUUCACAUCCAUAAGUUCUUCAAUAACAAAAGAGACUUUCGGAAGUGAGGUUCCUCUGAAAAAAAAAAAGAUAGUUCUAGCAGGGUCAUCACAACCGGUGAGAGCGUGGGUGUAGAGUGUGGCUUCUCAAAGUUGAAUCUAUCCAUAAGGGAGCUUUCGAGAGUGAGGUUUUGACUAAAAUUAAGUCUUUUAGUUUACUGUUAAUUUUAUCAACACACUCGUCCAUUUUAUUAUGUGGUUUUCAAUUAUUUUCUUUCUAUUCUUUCAAAGUUGACAUUGUAACUCAAUGAGACUUUUGUAUUAGUGGACACUAUUUCUCAACUCUCAACUCUCAACUUUCUUUUUUCUUUUUGUUUUUUUAAGUUGAAAACAAAAAUGUUUCUAGACCAAAAAAAACUUUUGACUAACCUAGUCGACAUCAAAAGUAUUGGUUGUUUUGUCAUUGUCAACGGUCUUCUAAAUAAUUAAAAAAGAGAUGAAGAGAUUAUUCUAAACAAUGAGAUUUUCCUAUUUGGCACAUAUCACCCUGGUGGUUGGACAGGAGAUGAAGAUGUGAUCAAGCUCUUCAAAAUUCUUUUAGCAUAAAUAAUACCAAAUUGGAUUGAGCUGAAGAGUAGGGAUAUAUCUUUCUUGGAAGAACAUCGGUCAUGUUUAUGCAACUAUGUAAGAAAGACCGAAUGAAGAAUCUGCAUCUUUUAGGAAUUUUUUAUUUCCAUAGUUGUUUAAAAAUAUCAGCAUUGAUAUUUGUCUCAUGCAACAAAUGGCUUUUCUCAUAGAGGCUAUGUUGAACUUACCAUCAGUGUUCAAUUCCCAUGUACGUAGCAACAUCGUGACCUCUAUUGUCACUAGGAGGGAUAAAAUAUUGUUUAAUUUCCUCCCAUUGUUGAUACUCCAAAUUGCGUAAAGGUUUUCUAGAUUGAAUAUCUCAAUAUGAGUUGUUAAUAUUCCGCAGACACCUUUCACAGAACCAUGUUGAAUAGUAGAGAGUAAAUAAUCUUGCUCUCUAAGAGAAUAAAGGGCUAAACUCACUCAAGUUGCCUUUUCAAAAGGAAUGAUAUUUCCCAUUGUUGACUUGUGAUUUAUUUUGUGUAUUGAACCAGUCAAGCCUUUUGAUAAUUAAUAUUUCUUCAAGGAGCUUUCAUAGAGUUAUAUUGGACCACGUCACCUAGCUAGAGUUGUUAGCACAAGAAACUCUCCCACAGGACACUUUGGAGUGCUCCACUGACCUACUCCUUUGAUUCGACCACGUAGCUAGCUAGAGUUCUCUGUAGGGGCACUCAUAUCAAUUGUGAUGCUAAGUAUAGUAUACUUUGACAUUUAAGUUAGUACAUUAAGGUCUCAUUUCUUUCACGAGAUUUUUCAUGAGAUUUCAGACAGACAUUUAAUAUUCUUGUUAGUUUCACAUAAUUUUUACUUUUUAAAACCCAAGAUAUUGUUAUCCAUCAAACUUUAAAACCCACCUAACAAACAUUUUUAAAUACUUUGUAAAAACAUGGAACUUUUAUAUUUCCGGAAUAUGUAUAAAAAUAUAGCUUAAUUAAUUUAUAAAUUAAAAUAUAUUAUUUUUUAAUUAAUUGUUAAAUAUAAAAUAUUAGUACAUUUCCACUAAUAUUUUUACCACUAAUAUUUUAUGCUAUUUUAACUUUUUAAUAUAAAUUAUUAUCGUUAAUUAUUAAUAUUCUAUUAAUUUAAUUAUUUUCAGUAAUUACUUUAUUUAUGUUUAGCUAAGAGGAAUUCUUUUAUUUUUUAUUUUAUUAACUAAAUAACUAAUGAACAUAAACAAUAAAUUAUUUUAAGAUAAAUUUAAUUCAUUUCUACAAUAUAGUAAACUAAUUAAUUAAUUUUAAUUUAUUUUAUUUUGUACCUGUUGAAUUAAACACAAAUAUUUAACUUCCAGAUAUCAACUGUCAUCCAUUUCCAAACAAAGACGUAAAUUAUCUAUAUCAUUCAAAUCUUAGACAUUCAGAUCUUAGAUAUUCAAUAUCUAUAUCUACGAAACAAUAUAUGCGAUCCAAAUGGUCCUCAAGUAUUAAACUCAACUAAAUGUCGAGAAAGCUAUUAUUACCUUUUGAGGCAUGCAAUUGCAACUCUCACUUAGAAUGUGUACAAUAUCGAACAACAUUAAAGUAGGUGUGUGACUUUUGAAGUUGCAGAGCAUGCACCCACGAGGAGCUCGGCUUGAUCAUUUUCUUUUUGAUGAAACAACAUGAGCUCAACUAGUCAACACUUAAAAGUCAAAGACUACUUGACCUUUUUCUUUUAGGACAUGUGUACUGGACUCUAAUGCAAGCUUCGUCAUAUAUCCUUUUAGGCUUGAGCCACAAUAUUUGAGCUAACUCUCGAUCAAAAUAAUUCAUAUCUUACAAAGUAAGUAGAUAUAAACCUCCAACAUCGUGAACAAGAACAAAUAUAUAUACAAGUGACAUUUAAUACUUAACUAUGUUCAUUCCGUCUUUACUUACGGGAUGCGUAGAGUAAAUUUUAAUAAAAAAUUACAAAUAGGGCCAAACUUAUCGAUAAUAGAUAAAUUUAAUUUUUUUUCUAUAUCCACGAAUAGAAUUACACUAUGCUCUAUAUACAUUAAUAAUUUGAGUGUUAGUUAAACUAAUUACUGUAUCAUCUACAGUUGUAUCGUCUUAAAUACUGAUAUAAUUAGUUUGACAUUUUGACAACUUGUGUAUAUAUAUGCUUUGUACAAGUGUGGAAGGGAAGAUGAUUUUAUGGUUGAUGACUAAAAUUCUGCCGUCACCACCACUGCCGUCGGUGUUGGAUUUGAGACGACCGAGGUGCCGCUGCAUUAAGUUUGACCCAACGUUUGUUUUCUUAUGAUAUUAAUUCAGAGAUGUUUAUUUCAUAUGUAGAAAACAAAAGUUGGGUCACCACACCCAAGAGUAUGUUUAUAAAUCUUUGACUAUAUUGCUUUCUUUUUGUCUAAUUCGUAGUUGGAUGAAAGUCAGCCUAUUUCUUUUUUCUUUUUUUUCUUUCUGAAAGUUACUUUUUUUGAACUAUUGUAGUAUAAGAGGUAUGUCUUGACUAAUUCAUAUGUUUAAAAAUUAAUUUGGUUUAUGUUUGAAAUUAUCAUUCUUAAUACUAAUUUAAAUAACUUUAAUGUUAAAUUAGUAUAUCUAUGCAAACCAUAUUUCAAAGUGAGAGAUUUCUAAUUCUCAAGCUUUCCUUAAAUUCUUGGUGAAUGCAAACCAUCAUCACCGUAAGAGAGAAAAAGAGAGAGAUUUUCAACUUUUCCUCUAUUGGAAUAUCCUUUUCCCAUUCCUAUAUCUCACAAAAUAUAUAUUUUAUUUUAAACCCAUCAAUUCAUAAUUAUCUAAAUGAAUUUAGGGAUUUAAUUAAAAUGGACACUAUCACCCAUUUUAUCAAAGUGACAUGUUUCAUGCCCUAUUACCUUAGCUUCCUCUUUUCAUCUUAUAGGAAAUUAAUUUAGCUAGGCUGCCUAACUCAUUUCCAUCUCAUGCCCUCCACCUAACCACAUUAUUCAGUAUUUAUGUUAAAACUACAAAUUGUUAGACUGAAAAUUAUCCUCAUACACUAACACACAAGUCUUUACAAGAUGUGUUUUGAUCUUAUUCACAUGCUUUUUAGAAAAAUCUUCAUGAGGUCGUGAUCCACCCGAACAUAUUAGAUUGCUUCAAGAUAUAAGCAUGUUGAAAUUUAUUUGGAGUUCAUACAAUUGAACCAAAAAAAAGAAUAUACAUCUCGUUGAUAUAGAUACUAAUUCUUUUAAAAAUCGCUUUCAAUCCGACGGACCUAUUUAGCUUAGAGUUUCAUCCAAUCAAAUAUAAAUUUUUUUAUACAGAGUUAUAGAUUUUUUUUUUUUUUUUUUUGUCAUAUGUGUAAAUGUUGUAAGGCUCUCAUUCCACCUAUGUUCUCAUCCACUAAUUUACAUAAGUAUUUUUUAGGCAAAUUGUAUUAUUUAUUAUUUUAUGAAAAGUCAAAUUAUAUAUAUAUUAACAUAAUAUAACAAAUUCAAAUAUGUCAACCAGUUUGUCACAUCCUCUCCCAUUGCAUUCUUUCUCUUUUCUUCUUCUUGUCAAGAAAGAACAAAAAACUAAAAUAUAUAUUUUUUUUUCUCAUGAAGUUCUUAAUCUCUUUAUCUGUGUGUUUUUGGAUGUGAAUUUAUUUUUGUUAAUUUAGAGAUCACCUUUUCAUAUUGUGAGAACAUAUGAAAACAUUUAUUCUAAUUUGUGCAAUUUGUUGUUGAUGCUUUUAGUGCUAUGGUCAAGUGUUAAUUAUUGUUAUCUUCAUUAAAAUUUUACUUAAGAGAAUGAAAUAUGGAUUAAACCAUAGGUUGCAUGACUCUAGCUAGUAAAAUAACUUGUACAUUAUUGAAUAAUAUUUGUUUUACUAGAGGUCGUUAAAAAUCUUUUGUAAUACAUAUGCCUUAUUUAAUAUAUAGUUAUGGAAAGAGGGGGAGGUUUGACACUAAAAAUUAUUAGAAGAUUAGCUGAGCUUGGAGGAGGACUUUAGGGUCUUAGUAAUUUCCUUUAGUCUUAUAAACGAGUUCUUGCGAUAAAAAUAAAAAAUAAAAAGAGACGACAUUUGUAAUGCCUCAAGCCUAGGAUUGGAUCAGGAUUAUUAUUUGAAAUUCAGAUUCAAUAAUUGAAGGUCCUGACAAACAUUUGUUUGCAUCCAUUGUGACCUAUGUGAAAGGAAGUUGCGUGUUAACUCGUGGAGAUAACUUUUUCUCUAAUAAAUUUUUAAGACAAACAAGGAUGACAUUGUCAGAUUAUAGGGAUGUGUAAGGAAAUAAUAUCAGGGCUCUCAGUUAUCAGACCCUUACAACGUUACUUAAUUAAAUAAACUAUAUUAAUGUGAUUAGACGUUACUCCAAAACUCAAUCACACUCUAUUGAAACUUUGAUAUCGUAUAUUUAUGGGUUUUAUCGAAUAUAAACAAAAUAUAAUGAAUUUAAGAAAACAAAUUGAACCAAAGCAAUCAAUUGGAAUGAAAUUAGAUUAAAAAGUUGAAAAAAAAGUUCAAUGAAAUUAGAUUAAAAAGUAACAAAUUAGGUGUGAGAGCAAAUGGGGUAAACAAGAAAAAUAUCACCAAUUUGAUGUCGAUCGGUAUCUUCCAAAAGGUUGUACACAUUGCAUUACAUAAAUGAAUGGACAAACUUUUUGGCUUGGCUUCAACUUGUAGAUCAUAAAAGAGACAUAUGCAAGUCAAAAUUCAAAAUAAAUAAAUAAACAAGUUUGACAAAAUCAACUGAAUGGACUUGCUUCAAUUAGGGGGAUUUGUGUAGCUAAUUAAAUAUGGAUAUGUGAGACAGAUGGAGAGAAAGGCUUGAAAUCAACUUCUAGAAAGAAAAAAAAUAUUUUUAAGAGUUAAGCCGUUAAUCUCUCUAAUUUAUAUAAUAUAGAUAAAAGUAACAAAAUAUUCUCACUAGUCUUUUACUACCUCACUUCCACGAUGGCGUUGCUAUCGGCUAUUACCGUCACUGACCAACUCUAGCCACCUUAACUAGCAACCAAUUUUGGUUGUUGCCAACUUUGAUAAUCAACUUCAUGACCACUUCCGAUGACAACCAACUGAUCUGGUUUUCAAUACUAACAACUAAUUUUGACCUAUCAACCACCUCUAAUGACCUCCUCUGACAACACUUUUAAGAGCUAAUUAGAUCAUUACUUUUAGAAAAUGAUACGUUCAGAUGAGUAGAUGCACUCAAGCAUCUCCACUAGGUGGACACCCUUAGUUUUUAACACAUUCGUCUUCUCAAAUAUAUAUUAAAUAAAGUGUUGGGGAUGAACACUAAAAUAUGAAAAGAGCUAGAGAUAAGUUCAGGGGGGAGAUAAGCAAAAAUCAUGAAAUAAAUGAGGAGUUAUUGUUGAAAAGUUUACUAUUAAAAGAUUACAAACUAGUGAGGUUACAUGCAUAUGUCUUCUCAUAUGUUAAGAGGGAAUUAGAUCAUCACAUGCACAAGAAAAAAAACUUGGACAACAAAAAAGUUUAGAUAAAUUUGAAACUCUUAGUUUGCAUUAUUUUACUACUAUGACACUGGUAAAAACACGUUGAGAAUAUAUGACAAAACAAGCAAAUUUGCAUGUGAAAAUAUUUUUGACAAACCAGUUAGACCAAAUAUAGAUUACCGUUUAAUUGCCGUCAUAUUUGCCAAAUUUGCAAUAUAAAAAAAAAAGGUGUUAUAAUAUUUUUUUAAAAAAAAAUUUGUUUCCAACCAUUUUUAUAAAAAGAGUGUUUAAAUAAAUAAAAAAUUAGAAUAGCAUUUUUUGUAAUCUAUAUCCAAAGAAGGUUUCAUUAGUUUAUUAUUAUUGUUAUAAUUAUUUUAGUUUGCUAUUAGUACCAAUUUGACAUUAUGUUUUUGCAAAUGAAUUUCUCUUUUCACUUAUAAUCAAAAUCUUGAGGUAAGAAUUUUAAAUCUUCAAUUUGGAUGUUUCAAUAGUUUUAUAUUUAUGUUGGUCAAUUACAUUAUAUUUAUUUCACUUGGUCAAUAUACGAACAUGUAUUUGAAACUAUACAUUUAUAUAUAUAAUAAGUUGGGGGUUAGGUUAUCAAAUCAAAUUAGAACUUGUCAAAUAAAUUAAUAAACAGAAAAUAAAUGAAAGGAAGUUCAAAGACAUUUAAACAAAAUGUAUAAUAUAUACAAAUGGAGAAUAUUGAUUCAAGAACUUUGUUACGAAUCCAUCGUAUAUACUAAUGACUAAUUAGGUGUGAUGAGACAAGAAGUUGGGCUAAUGUGGUCUUUAUGUCUAACAUCCUCAUUAGUGCUCAAUGGGUACAUCACAUGACAACCUUCCAAUGACAUUGUAAUGGAAUAUGGAUAUAAUUUAAUGUAAUCCAAAAUUCAAGUUUAGAUUUACAAUUUUGUGUUGGAUUUGUAAUAUCAAACUCAUUUUGUUUUUACAAUUUUCAAUGUACCGUGUAUUUCUACUAUUUUCACGCUUCACGAUCUUGUUUUUGGUUCAUUCUCUAUCCUUAUAUAUUUCAAUACCUGGUUGAUUCACAUGCAGUAAUUUUGAUUAUAUUCGAUCUAUCAUGGACAAAAAUUUGAAAGUACUACAACUUGUUUUAUUGUUUUGUUUGGAACCUACAUGGUUGUAUUUGACCACAAUUCCAUUAGAUGGCUAUUGGCUAAGUCUCAAUGCCUUAAUUCCCCAUUCCAAGUUGCAGCCUACUUGCCCUCUGCCCUUCCCAUCUUCUCUUCUAUGGUAUUGACUUUUUUUUGUUGGAUGUUAUCUGAUUGUACAAUGGACACAGUGUAACUAAAUAACACUCUUUCCUAUUGAUUUUAUCACUAAUCUUUUAUGAAUUUUAAUUUUAUUUUAGUCUAACCUACUUUUAUUUUAUUAUGAUUUUCACACUUUCAAUGUAUUAAUUAAUUUUCUUUUGACAUUUUUUUUCACUUCAUUUACUUCAAAAUGUUGAUUUCUACCUAUAUUUGUAUAAGAAGUACAAAUUCUACAAACAUAAUGAAAAGUCAUUGUUAAAUUUGCAAGAAAUUUGUUGAGCAUAUGAUCAAUCUUGAAAUUAAUGAUGGUAAAAAUAAUAUGGAGAGAUACAAAACCAUGGUUUUUUUUAAGUGCAAAGUCCCCUCAAAGAAUAUUUUGUUUAUGGAGGAAGGGUAAAAAAUGACAAAAUAGACCAAUUUUAGGGCAAAAUCAAAUGUAAUGAGUUUUUAUCCUUUGAUGUGGUUUUUUGCCAUUAAGGAUAAAUAACUUAGAAAAUUUAUCCUUAGAAAAUUUGUGUUUGUAGUGCAAAGUUGUAGAUAUGAAAUUUUUGGAUGAAUGCAUAUACCAAAUAAGGUGGAAAUUAAAUGGAGUUUUCUUCCCUAAAUUGUGCAAACUUCAAUAGUAAAUACUAUUAAAAUUGAUAUAAAGUUGAGUUAUUUAAAAUCUGACACCAAUGAAGUCGGUAGACCAAACAUUCCAUAAUAUUUAAAUUUUAUUUUAUUUCAUUUUAAGCUUUUUUUUUCUCCCCUCCUUUUAUUUACCUACAUUAUUGUAUAUAUUUUAAAAUUACAUUUUUAUUUGGACUCAUAUAUAGCAAAAUGAACCAAAUACUUACAAAAUAUCACAGUCUAUUUACAAAUGAAUCAAGAUAGACUACUAUCUGUGUCUGUUUGUAUCAUGAAUUAGAAAUAAAUAGUAGACUAAUUUUAUUUAUCACUAAUAGAUUAUGAUAUUUUGUUAUAUUUAUAAAUAUUUUCAAAACUUUUAUCAUUUAAAAUAAUUUUCCUUUCUUAUUUAUCAUUAAUAACUAUUGUUCACAACUAAUGAGUAAAUGUAAAUUUUGAUAAACAUGUGAUUAUUUAAAGGGGUCCUUGCAAAAAUAGCAAAAAAAUUAUGAUAAUAGAUUUCAUGUCACUCCAUUUUCUAAAUUGCAAAAGUAGUAAAUUUAAAAACCGAUAACCUUAUGAUUACAACUUGAUAAGCCUUUUGAUAGUCAUAUAAUUAUCGCCUAGUAGCCGCAUGAUAUCACUAAUUUUGCUAUAUUUUGUAUUAUGUAAAAAAUGGGUGUCAUAAAACUGUUUUUUUUUUUAAAUGUUGUUGUGAUGCGAUCAAGUUUUGUUUGGUUUUGAGAAAGAAAUAUUGUAAAAGACAUGUUAAAAAUUCAAAAAUCAAAUCAAAUAAAACAUUUGUGUUUUAGUUUCUUCAAAGGAAGAAGUGUACGUUUUGUUUUUGAAUUCCUCGCUACUCUUUGCCAUCAUGAGUUGUUCAAAUUCUCAUUGAUAUCAAAGUUCGAAAUAUAUAUAUAAUCAACUAAUUCUUUUAAGAAGUUAUUAAAUGUGAUACAAAUGGGAAGGAGAAGUAGUUGGGAGAAAUAAUUAGUUAGGUUUAAAGAGGUAAUGUAUAAUCACUUGAUUUUCAAAAUCAAAAACAAAAAAAAAUAAUUAUCUAAUAUGAUUAGCAAAUAAGAUCUUAAUAAUUGUAGAUAUGAUUUUCAAGAUAUAAAAUCUCAUAGAGUUUUUCAUUUCACAAAAAUCUUAACAUAAAUCUCGAUAAAACGUUGAUUUCGAUUUAUAUUUUUUUUAAAAAAAAUUAAUUAAUAAAUAGAUAUCAUUUAUUAUUCUUAAAUAAAUCAACUAUCACCAAGCACACUUAAUCAAGUACACUUUCAUGUUCUCAAGAACCCUUUCAUGUCCUUAAGAACUCUCUCAUUCAGAACUGUUAUCGAUUCAUUUCAUGUCUCCCUUUUACACUUAGAGUAUUACAAAACCAGCUAGCACAUAUGCAUAUGUACAAUCUAAAUAAUUCUCCCUCCUUCCUAUAGAUGUAGUUAACAUACAAUUAGUGAACCACGUAAAUAUAUAUACAUAUAUAAUAAUAUAUUGAUCGAUUUUGUUUCUAUCAUAACUGUAGUAUUAAAUUUCCCUUGAUAUGUCGAUACACAUCAACAUUUUUACGUUUUCAUGGAUAUAUCAAUACGAGGGAUAUCCAAGAAAUACAAAAAGAUAAAAGAUCAAAAUGUCACUAAAAUAUAUAAAUAAUUUUUUAAAUUUUUAAAUUUUAUAAUCUUUUCCAAAAAUGUGAAUAAGUUUUAUUGAUAUUUUAUAUGGAAACUUACUCAUAACACAACCGGUGGUCAAAAUGAAGCAAUGAGUAAAAAUCAUAAGUUUUAUAAAGCGAUUGAAAAGAAAACGGUGGUUAUUAAAAGAAAAACAAAAUGUAAUCUUUUUUUUCAAAGUCAAAGGCCAACUUGAUGAGUUGCCUAAUUAUUAUAAAUAAUUGGUUCAAACUAAAUUAAAACAUACCCAUUUUCUACAAGUUUUCUUUUCCAAAGUUGUGAUCCGAUAAUAUCAAGAAUUGGAUGUGUACUAUUAUUGUUAAUAAUCCAAAGGUGGCGAAUUCUAACAGCAGAGACUUUUAUUCCGACCAAAAUGAAUGGCUUCAUCAAUAUUCAACUGCCUUUUCUGGGUUAAAUAGAGAGGAAGAGACCUCCGUCAUCGUCUCCACUCUCACCCAAGUUGUCGUCGGUGAUCAGGUCUCGCCUAGCGGAGGAAACGGCGGUGCUGGUGUCGGUAGAACGCUGUCGACUGGCUCGUCGUCUUCAUCUUAUAGUAAUUCCCACAAGAGAGGACGUCAACAAGACCUUGUUGAUGAUCAACAACACUCCCUUUUAAGUUCGGUCUCCGACGCUUCUCAUUAUUCAGCUGCUUUCAAUGGUAUGUAAGAAAUACUUUUUGUUCAUUUAUUAUAUGACAAUUUGUGAUUAUUGGACAUGUAAUUAUAAAUAACAUAGUAUGUAUCUUAUAAACGUUGGAGGUUCUUUGAUUUUUUUUUUUUUUUUCUGAUAUGAACUUUCUAGGAUCUAGAUCUGAAAAUCUGCAUGUGUUCUGAUCUAACUACUAGUCUAGACACAGUUUAAUUAUACUUUUUGACUUAUACAUUUCAAUAGUAUUUAAACUUUUAUGAGAUCCAAAAUUUUCACUCCAUUUAACUAUUAUAAUUGGAAAAAAUGGCCAGAAUUUGAAUUCAACUCAAGAAAGUUGUCCCAAUGUGACAUAAUUUUUUUGAUAUAGAUUCAAAAGUUUGCACAUUUUCUUGUAACAAAAAUUUGAGGUUCUUUUGUAGUUUCAAGCUUAUAUACAUUAUUAACAGUUCGUAUUUAGGUAAUUGCAGUUAUUUGAAGUUUUAAAACUUAUAGUAAUUAGCUGUAUAACAAUAUGCGAAAAAUCUUAUCAGCUGAUAGAUUCCUAUAUUUACGAUAUUUGGUCUAUUUGGCAUAUUAACCAUAUGUUAAUAUUUGAGAGCUAAUGUAAAUUUUGCUAAUUAUAUGAAAUUUGUUUUUAGAUUGUAUUAUAUUUGCUAAUACGACUCUAAUUUUUGCAUGCCGUUAUAUUCAAAAAGUUAUGGAUGUGCAUCUCUGUUCGUUUGUAUAAUCUUUUUGCAACUUGUUCAUUUAUCUAACCACAAUUUGUCUCGUUAUUUUAUUUUCAAGAUGGAAGAAAUGUGGUGGGAAUAUACGAAUACGAGAGAGAAACAAGAAGAAACAGAGGAGGAGAAGAAGAAGGAAGAAGAAGAUAUAGAGGAGUGAGGCAAAGGCCAUGGGGGAAAUGGGCUGCUGAGAUUAGAGAUCCAUUCCGAGCCGUCAGAGUUUGGUUGGGAACUUUCGACACUGCAGAAGCAGCUGCCGAAGCCUACGACGAGGCCGCCCUCCGCUUCCGAGGCAACAAAGCCAAGCUUAACUUCCCUGAAAAUGUUAGACUCCGACCCUCCCCGGCCCCCAUCACUCCCAAUAACCAAUACGCGAACGUUUCCGUGUCUCCGGCCAUCAAUCUCUAUGAUCAAAUGUCGUUGACAUCAUCCAUGACGUCCCCCCCAUCGACCACUGCGGGGUUGGUAUCUCCAUCGUCGUGGAGUGGCGGACACGGCGGGGAUGGUGGUUUUUCAUUGCCGCAGUGGACGCCUGAAUUUAAUGAUCAGUACAGCUCACCUGAAUAGAGCGGCUUGUACUCUUCUUCUUAAUACUUUCUCAUAUUUCUGUCAUUUUUUCUCUCUCUUGGAAGGGAAUGAAUCCGAGGAAUUUUUGGUAAAAAGUUGUUCAACUAAAUUGUUUCUUCAAGCAAAGUGUACGAGACUAAGAAGUGACCUUUUUUCUUUAUUUGCUACUUCUUUCAUAGCAUAAAGAGAAUGAUGAUACAAUUUUGAAAUUAAUAGUUACAAGUUAAUGGAUGUGUAUGUUCCUUUUGGCUACCUCUUAAUUCUUUUUAAACUUUGUAAGUUUCAUAUUAGAUUUCAUGGUUUUUUGUCUUAGCUUCAAUUUAUGAGAGUUACGCUUUGAACUCUUGAUCGGGAGUACUCGUUUACGUCAUUUGAAUUAUGCUCGUUGUUAUGAAUGUCUUUAAUCUUUUAUAUAGUAGUUUGAAUGAUCAAGUAUAUAGAUUUUGAUUUUUAAUGUAAAUGAUUUUGAACCUAAGUGUGGGUUAGGGGCGACAUCUCUCUAAAACCUCCUUAGAAUGGGUAUGUGACAUAUAUAAUUGUAUAUUUCAUUACUUCAUUAGACAAUUUCAUGACAAAAUUUAACCAAAUAAUAUAUCACAACUUUAAAAUAUUUAUAAAUAUAGCAAAUAUUGACCAAUCAACUAUAAAUUUUUAGAAUUUCAAGUUUAUCCUCUAGUGCACGUGUUCUCAUCAAUGAUAAACAACUAUCAUUGAUAGCACAUUUUUCAAGUUAAAAGUUAUUCACCGAUAACAACCAUCAAUUAUUUUGUUGGUGGCAGCUAUUAGUUAUUAUAGCAACUGAUAUAACACAUUUCUCAAAUUAAAAAUUAUAAUCGAUAACAAUAUCACUAAUACCAACACCAUUGAUAGGAGGUAUACCAGCGACAGCAACUAAUAGAACAUUUCUCAAAUUGAAAAUUCUACAUUUCUCGAAUCGAAAGUUAUCACUAAUAAUAGUUAUUCAUGUUAUUUAUUAAUAGUAUCUAUAUCAGACAACCAUUAUCAAUUUUUAUGUUAGAUGUGGAUUCUUUUAGCUUAUAUAUACUAAUUUUUACGCUAAUAUACGUAGCUAUUUUGUUCUUGUGCUAUAUAUUACAUUAUUUUUUACUUAAAUGCCAUGAAGGGGUGAAGUCAAAGUUGAAGGAUAUUAUAAUUUAAUCAAUUAGCUUUAUCGAAAGGAAGUUUGGUUCUAAUCAAACAAAACAAAAGCAUAUAACUUUAUUUGGUAUAAAAAUAAUUUUAAUUAGUACAAAAGGGUCUAAAUGACCCUUUCAUUAUACAAAAUAAAUAAAUAAAUAAUAAUUUGACCUAAAAAUAUUAUUCUAGCUUUGUGGUCCAAAAUAAUUAUCCAUUAAUUUGCAUCUUUGACUUUGAUAUCUCAUAUAUUAUCUAUACAUAUGUGCUUCUUUAACAAUAAAUUUAUUUUUUUAAAAAUAAAAAAAAAAACCAUUUAAUGAUAAAUAAAAAAUUUAUGAGUUAAGACUAAACUUACUAAUAAUGGAAAAUGAAGUAAUAAUCCAUUGGAAUAGAUAAUGGAAUCGUAAUUAAUUGGCUAAUAUUUAUCUUUACUACCAAGUUUAAAUUUGUACUCAAACAUGUUAUACUUAGAUGUAAAAAGAAAAAACAGAGAUAGAAUGUCUCGAAGUGAAUUUGGUAUUAAUUCAACUAGUUCAUCCUACUCUUUAAUAAAUAAAUCAUUUAUAAAUUCUUAUAUCGAAAGCUUCUUUUCUCCCUUUUCUUUCUCCGUUUUUCCAUCUAUACAAUUAUUAGUUAUUACAAAUUUGAAUGUACACAGCACAAAUGGAUUGGUAAAAGAAAGAGACUAUGAACUUUAUUUAUAUAUAGUUGGGAUUAAGAAAAUCAAAUAUAGAAUUGUAUUUUGAAUAUAUCAAUGUUUGAAAAUUGUGUGUGUUAUCAUGAAAUAUUUUUGGUUAGAAUGUGAAUCAAAAUCACAUAACAUAUUGGUCAUUGCUUCUCCUCAAUGAUUGGUUUGCCAAUAAAGAACUUUGACCAUUGAAUUUUGAAAUACAAAAUUGUUCUCAAAGAUAUCUUCUAUUGUCCCCUUGACUUUGGAGUUCAAAUUUGAUGAAGAAAAAUAAAAUUAGAGUGCCAACCAACAACUUAUUAACCAUCUCUUUUUUUCCCUUUGUUCUUAAUUAUUCUUAAUGUUCAUAUACUUCCCUCACAUAAUCCUACUAGUGGAAAAAGGAAAAAGGAAAAAGAUGCCAAGUUUAGUUGAAGAGUGAGAAUUCAAAAUGUAUAGUUUACUUCAUAUGUAGGAAUGGAAUCAAUUAGUAUGAGAUGGUCAACCACUAAGUUAAGAUUUCUUACUUUAUGUAAAGAACAAUUGCUUUGCUUCCUUAAAUCCCAUAUUAAUUUCAUUCACAUUCUUUCUUUUCAACAGUCACACUACUUUUUUAAUAUUUAUUUUAAAUAACAAAAAUGUUAAGAAUAUAUAUCUAUAGCUAUAGCAAAAUAUCGAUCAAUAACUAUAGACAUCUAUCGCUAUCUACACUAAUAGAUAAUAAAUUUUUCUUGUAUUUAUAAAUAUUUUUGCUAAUGCAAAAGAUUAGUAUGAUUUUUCUUCUAGUGCAAAAAUUAUUAGUAAUGGAACAAGGGAGAGACUUUUGUGAAGGAAUUAAAUAUUUCAAAAUUGUCCUUGUUUUAAAACAAAAUUUCAUUUCUCCAUGAUUUUCUCCUUCUCCACGAUUCUCUUCUUCUCCACAAUUUUAUCUCUUUCACAAUUUUCUCCUUCUCCAUAUUCUCCACAAUUUUCUCCAUUCUCCAUCUUCACCGUCGUUUUCUUCCUUCUCCUCGUUUCUUUUCCAUUUUCUAUGUGAUUUUCUCCUAUGCUAAGAUCAUUUCUUCAUUCUACGAGAUUUGCUUCCAUCUCAGUUUGAUAUUUAUUUUCAUAUGUGUUUCUUCCCUAAAAUUUUGACUUCAUCCAAUUUUUACAAUUUGAUGUAAUUUUAUCACUGGAGGUUGAUUUUGUUCAAUUCAAUUGGAUGAUUUUACUAGUAUUUUUAUAUUAAAAAAUGUGUUUAAUUUCACUUGCAUUGGAUUUCAUCUGUUUGAGGCUUCAUAGUAAUUGAGUAUAUUAUGAAUUUUUAUAUCCCUUUUACAUUUUUAGGUUAAAAUAAUUUGAUUUUUUUUUCUAGUGAAUACAAGUUAUCACUGAUAGACUAUUAGUUAGAUUAGUUAAUAUGAGCAUGGUGAUAUUAGUCUAUCAUUGAUAGACUUGUAUCUUAGUGCAUCACUAAUAUCCUAAGUUAUCACUGAUAGUAGUCUAUCAAUGAUAGACUCGUAUCUUAGUCCAUCACUUAUAGUAGUCUAUCAAUGAUAAACUCGUAUCCUAGUCCAUCAGUGAAGACUAUAUCUUCUAUCAAUGCUAUGAGUGUAACACUAGGAUGAUAAACUGUAUAUAUAUAUAUAUAUAUAUAUAUAUAUAUAUAUUGCAGUAAUUCAAAAUUAUGAUUAAUCAAUGAUAUAAGUGUAACAUUACGUCUAUUUUGCAAGCGUCAAGCAAAAGGACAACAAAAAAAAAAUUGAUUAAUGGGAAGAAAAGUCAUCAAAAUGUAGUCAUUGUAGUCGAGUUGGUCACAAAAUGAUGUGACAUUACGUUGUUGAUAAGAAUCAUUCUACUUGAAGAUAGAGAACAUUUUUUUGUUAGCAGUAGUUACCUUAUUGUAAAGUAAUAAUAUGAAGUAAUGUCAUAAUGAAGUUUAAUUUAUAGUUGAUAGUUUCUAUCGAUUAUAUAAACUAUAGUAUGAAGUUUAUCGUCGAUAGCUUCUAUCAAUGAUAGACUUCAACAUGUAUAUUAACAAAACGUUUUCUCAAUAAAAUGCACCAAUUAAUACUAAUUUGCAAUGAUUCAACAUAUAUAAUACUAAUUUCUUAAUGGGAACACAAGAGCACAUACUUGCAAUGAUUAUAUUCAACCUGUGAUCCAACAUUUUUCUAUAUUAAUAUGGUAAACUCAACUAAAUACGAAGAGUUAACGUCACUAUGAAGUAUUUUUCACCAUUAUGGUUUAUCAUUAAUAAACUUCAACAUCAAUUGAAGAUAGUUAAUUUGUAAUCUUUAACAUGUGGUCUAACACUUUUCUAUAUCAAUUAAAUAAAAUAUAUGAAGUCUAUCAUUGAUAUUUUCUAUCAUGAAAUAUCUGCAAAACUAAUACUACAGUAUCCAUUUACUUAAUGAGAGAGUUGCAAAUCAAAACUAGGGACAAAUUAAUCGGCCUCUUGCAAUAUUCUAGUCUUUCGCAUUCUCCAACAUUUUCUUUGAUCAGUUAAGUUGUCUCUUCAGCCUAACAUUUUUAACUUCCCUUGCUAUUUCCAUCGUUUUCGUUUUUUUUUCUUGAACAACCUAAAAUGAAAAUGUUGAAUUAGAGUUUAUAAAUAUAUAUUAUAAUGAAAACAAUAUAAACAUCUUCCAAGUUUAUUAAUGACAAAAACAUAUCACUAAUAGACCAUAAACAGUAACACACAAACUAAAAAAAGAUUAGCAUGCCGAAAAAAAAAAGUUAAACAUCCCAACACAAACAAGUUAACAUCCUCCAAAUCUAUCAUUCAGUGAUAGAAACAUAUCACAGAUAGACCAUAAGCAACAUCUCACACAAAAUAUACACAUUAAACUAAAGUAUCUACUAACAUUAUUGAACAUAUUCCAAGUCUAUCAAUAAUAGAACGUAUCAUUGGAUAGAGUAAGAAACAUCACGUAAAUAAAUGCACAUAAACUAAAAUAUCCACUAACACACCUUACCGCAAACAAACCGAUUAGCAUGUCGAAAAACCAAGUUCAACAUCCCAACACAAACAAGUUCAACAUCCUCCAAAUCUAUCGUCAAUCCGUGAUAGAAACAUAUCAUUGAUAGACUCUAAGCAACAUCACACAGCAAAAUAAUAGAUAACAGUUUGAAAAAUAGUAAAUUUUAAAAAUGUUUUGAUUAAUAGCAAAAUUGUCUGAAGUAGAUAUUUUUUGACAAAUUUUCAGUAGAUUUUACCCCUUCAUAGACGAAAACUCCUUUUUCUUUGAUACAGUGUAUUUUGGUAGACUAAAAUAAUGGAAUAUAACCCAUAAUCACGAAUACAAUGUAUUUGCAAAUCAUUCGGUUUUGUAAAAAUAUUAAAUAAAUAUUUGUUUUCGGUAUUGAUUUCAUUUAAUCAACAUCUUCUAGAUUUAUGUCUUCAAUUUAUACCAGAUUUUUGAAUUUGUAGGUACUAAAUCAAAUCAUUAACAAUUUAUUUAUAUUAAUAUAUAUCUACUAAUAGCUAUUUAGUUCAUACUUUUUUUGCUAUCCAUAAAAUGAUUCAUAAUAUAAAGUAUUCAUCGUACGUUUCAUAAGGUUUGGUUAACUUUUAAUAAUAUUUUAUCAUAUCUACAAAUACACAAUUUUUCAUAUAAUGAUUGAUAAUAUAAUUUAUUCAUUGUACGUUUCGUAAAGUUAGGUUAAUUUUUAGUAACAUUUUAUUAUAUCAUUCAAAUACACAAAUUUUCAUAUUUAUCCUUCAUUGUUUUCAAAUUAUAUAUAUAGUAAUAAAUAUUUAUCUUAUCAUUUGAUUUAAAAAGUUUAGUUGAAAGAUCUCCAAUAUUUGAAUUUAAAAUUGUAUACUUCCCUAAAAUUGUGCAUUUGAUAUAAUAAGAACUUCAUAUCAAGAUCGUAUCCUCCCUAUAAUUAUGCAUAUAACCAUUAUUCCAUAAAACGUUUCAUUUAACAUAAUAAUAAAUUGACAUUAUUUAAGGGGAAUAAAUCAAUUAUAACGAUAUUUAUGGAUAACAAAAUUUUUCUUAAACUAAUGAUACCGACAUUAAAUGCAUCGUGAUUAGGGAAAUAAAAUCAUAAAAAAAUAGUGAAAAUGACAAAAUAAUUAAUGGAUAACAAACUGUAAAAGAAUUUGAAUAUUUUAUUUUUGGAAAAAUUAAUUGUGAAGAGAUGAUUUCCUUUAUUUAAAUUGGAAAAGAAAAAAGGAAAAGGAAGAUAUUUAAGGGAAAAUAAUAGUGAUAAUAAAUAUUUAUUAAUAGUGAUAAUAAUAGUAAUAUUAUUUUAAAUAUACUUCUCAGUCCAUGUUCUCCGUCCAUCUCACUAUUCAUCAUCUUCUUCACUCUUACCAAACCCUAGCCAGCGUCAACAUCUCCAUCUCCGUUCGAUUGUUCUCCGUCCAGUCGAGAUCUCCACAUUCGUAGUCAUCUCAUCCUUUCUGAUGACGAAGAAUUGAGCUGCAAGGAAACGUCUCAUCCACUCCACGCCACUAUACCGUUUUUAAUUCAUUCGAAGUUGAAAGCCUUUGCGCCACUUGUUGCUUUGUGCGUCGCACGUCCAGCCGCACCGGUCUCCUUCAUCAACAUCAGUUCGUCGGUUCUACUAAAACUUCCAGUCGCUGUUAGUUACCAGAUUUUAGUGACUUCGUGGUUGUUGGGGUUUUGUUGUAGUUUUCCUUAAUUAACCCUUAGAGUUAAAAUAAUAUUAAUUUUUAGAUCUUUUGGAAAAGUUCAAAGGGGAUAGAAGACGGAAAGGAAGAAUACAAGGUAUGUGGUUGAUGUUUGAUAUCGAAUACAUUGUAUUUAGGUGUAAUUACAUUAUUGUCAAAGCUUCAAGCCACCGUCAAUUGUCAGAUUUUAAUGAGAUUGGGUUUUUUUUUCUGUAGUUUUUCUUAAUUACCCCUUGAAGUUAAAAUAAUACUAAUUUUUAGAUCGUUUGAAGAGGAUAAAAAGGAUAGAAGACAGAAAGAAAAAACACGACUAUGUUUGAUAUAAUAUGUAGAAUACAAGGUAUGUGGCUGAUGUUUGAUCCUGAAUACAAUGUAUUUGGAUGUAACUACACUGUAUUUGUCCUAAAAUCAAGGGGAUAUAUUGUUGCUGUAAUCUAAAAGAAUAAUUAAAUAAUUAAAAAGAUAAUUUAUAUUCACAAUGUACGUAUGUAUGUGUGUAUAUAUAUAUAACCUAUAAUUAAAAUCUAAAAAAGUAUUAUUACACUUUAUAUUUUUUCUGUCUGACCUUGACAAAAUUUCAGAGAUCACUUGAAUGUGCGUGUAACAAUUGAGAAAUAUAAUCGUGUUGAGAAUAAAAUUCCGUGAGAAGCAAAACUUAAACAAGUCCGGAUGAAAAUCCCUUGAAGAAGCUCACCUUUGUACCAAACAAAACCCUUGAAGAAGCUCACCUUUGUACCAAACAGAAAAAAAAAAUCUUUAAUUGAAUUGAUGAAGAAGAUGGUCGGCAAGAAGAAAAUCCUUUGAUUUACAUCGAACGUAUAAAAAAUUUGAAGGUUUUGAGGAGGACAAAACUUGAAGCUCCAAUCUUUUCUACCAUUGAUUGAAGACUUGAUUUGAAGGGGACGGUUUCAAGAUUUAUUUAGGUGGAAUCUACAAAAAUAAAAGAUAGAAAAACUGAAUUCUUUUAGAUUUUGAAGAGUUUCAAGGAUUUCAAGAUAUGCUACUUGAUUACCGAGUAUUUGAGUUUUAGAUGAAUAAUUUAUUUAAAACUAAGUUGAGACAACGUUCCAUUAAUUUGUUUUUUAGAUUUUUAAUUUUUGCUACCCUAACAACUUAAAAAUAAUUUUGCUAUUUUUGGGAAGUAAACCUAUUUCUUCUUGGCGGUACUAAGGAAAAAAAGGGUUUGGGUCUCAAUUUAGUGAAAAACAAUGGGUAUGGGUAAAAUCCAAAAGAAAGUUCAGAGAUGCCUUUUCUUUUGAGAAUUUGAGCAAGAAUUUAAAUGCCACACUUCUAGAAAAAAAAUUGAAAAAUAUGGUAAACAAAUGAUACUAUAAUUGACAUCGAUAAACUCUAAUAAUAGAAGUGUAUCUUUUAGUAUAAUCUAAAAUUUAGCUAAUAUUUAAUGGGUAAAUUCUGCAUUUUGUUGUUUAUAAUAAUUUUUCUAAAUAAAUGGCGGGAAAACAAACAUGAUUAUCAAAAACUGAAAAAGAAUCACUAACAAAUAGGAAAAAAGAAACGUCCAACACAAAAAUUAUCCCAAACACACAACCAAAGUUGAAAUAGGCAUAAACGCCUAAAGUGGAUAAAAUGGUAGCUGGAUGAAUGUAGCAAACAAAUCCCUAAGAACUGAGACUACUCAAGGCGAGUUAAAGCCGACGAUACAAGAAUAAGAAAAGAUCGGUUCCCAUUUCUAGUCGGUAUUAUACAACAAAUCUUUUACUUCCAACUCUAAUAACAAGUUUUGUUCCUUACCAACAAAACAAUCCACAUUGGACGAAUUCUUCAUGGAUCUGUUUGGCAGAAAAGUCGAUGAUGCCAAAUUCUGGUCAAACUGCACCAAACAUUCGUAAACAUAAAAAACCGUAAAAUUCUCGAUUCGGUUCGGUUUAAAUACAUUUCAGCUACUUUAAUCCAAGGUGUGUAUAUUAAAAAAAAGCCUGCGUACAGGUAAAUGAAAAUAAAGAACCAGUCGAUGAGAUCGCAUCAAAUUUGCAUCACCUCUCAAUUAAAUUCAGUAAGUUCAAAUCGUAACAAAUUUUAAACUUCAUGUAAAGUUCUUGAUGAUUAAGUUGUACAAAUUCAAAACUACAAGAACUAAAUUGUCAAAAUACUAACAUUCAUGAACUAAAUUGUUUCUUCAAUAUAUUCUAAAUAUGAGAAGAGUGAGCAGUAUACCAA
rnacentral:lncRNA from 1 species